AUGCUGACGGCCCGCGGAGAGCCACGUGACCUAACUGCUGGCGGCGCUUCCCACCGGAAGUCCGGGGAGAGCGCUCAUUACCAUCUUUGUUUUGGUUUGGCUUCGGCUGCCAUGUUUAGUACGGGCAAGGAGGAUAAAGUAAAGGCCCGCCCUUUACGCGUGUGCUUGGCGCCCAUUUUGUUUUGGGGCACAGUUCUCUGUACAGCUAUGGAAGGUCCCACUUUCCGUCGCUGCGUUAAGUUCUGGCAAAGCUCUCGGAGGUCGCCUGAGAUCGAGGCCAGACUCGGCUCGGGAGCCGGGCUGGCGAGGCUGGGUCUUCCGAGUUCCUCCGAGGCUCGGCCGAGCGUCCGGCGUUUCUCUAGUUUGGGCUUUCACAGCCAAGGGCUAAAUGAUGGGAGAGGGAAAAAGUUAAAGCUCCUCUGCCCCUCCCCUUCUCCCCCAUCUCCACGGUUUCUUAGAUUUGAAUUAUGUUGGAAUCAAUAUCAAUGUGGUCUAACAAUCUUGUUAAGGUAUCAGAAUUGGGAGGGACUAUUCCAAGCUAUGGAAUAUAUGAGGCAUUGA
ensembl:lncRNA